AUUUCUACGGUUUUGUUAAUAACCCGUUUUUGAAGAAUUGCCAUAUUGGAUUAUUUUCACUUUCUCUCUCCCUCCCUUAAACCCACCCCUCACUUUCGAAGUUGUAGCCUCUCCUUCAGAGAACCGAACCAAAUGGAGGAAGCGCAAGAGACGCAAAUCAGCCCGCGCCACCAGAAGCACGAGGAGGAGGAGGAGGAGGAGGAGGACGACGAUGAUGACGAAAACCCCAAUGUGGAGGAAGACCUCGCCGAACGCGACUACGAUUCGGAGGACCAAACACACCAAAACCACCCUAGUUCGCAACCUCACAUGGAGACGGAGGUCCUCUCCGACCACGACAUUCGGAUUUCACAAUUACUGGUGGUGAUAAAGUGCUCCUUGAACCGCCUUCACUCCUCAGUCACCGCAAUUGUCCCGGCGGUGUCGCAUUUCAAACCUACUUAAAAAUAUGUUUAAUUUGUUGUUUUGUAAUUUGAAACCUUAUGAACCCUUAUUCUAAAUUUGAAUUGUUGUUUUGAUUUCAAAUUUUAUAUUGUACUGCAUAGUGUGUUACCAGGCAUUCUUGAAGGGGACAAGUCAGACUCCCUCUUGUACGACUCUGUUGACAAUGGAAAGAAAAUUUGUUGGAAUGAAGAUUUUCAUUCUAAGCAAACGUGAAGAUGUGUAUCUUGUCAUUAAAGCAUUUGCAGUAAGUGGGGAGUGGAUGAAUGCUGAAGCCAAACGCUUUGUUCAAAUUCUGACCACUGCACUUGGUGCAAAUAUUGCUUGUUGCUGGAGCAGAUCCAUAUGCUCAAGAUUCACAGCAUGGGUGGACAACUUUGCAUACAGCUGUUAUGACUGAUGAUGUUGAAUUGGUUAAGGUUAUUCUUGUUGCUGGUGUUGAUGUGAACAUUCGCAAUAUGCACAAUGGCAUUCCUCUUCACAUAGCCUUAGCUAGGGGAGCUAAGUCAUGUGUUGAACUACUUCUAUCUAUUGGGGCAAAUUGUAAUGUGCAGUGUUUUAGCCAAUGAAGUUGUAAAAGUCAUUCCAUUAGACAUGGGACAACAUGUGCAGCUUAAGGAGUGAUGAGGACAUGACCAAGAGCAAGGGCAAGGAUCCACUUGAAGGACUUGGAGGACCUAUGACAAGGGCUAGAGCAAGGAAAGCCAAGGAAGCUCUUCAACAAGUGUUGUCCAUACUAUUUGAAU